rnacentral:rRNA from 1 species
UACGUAGGGGGCGAGCGUUGUCCGGAAUUAUUGGGCGUAAAGAGCUUGUAGGCGGUUUGUCGCGUCUGCUGUGAAAAUCCGGGGCUCAACCCCGGACUUGCAGUGGGUACGGGCAGACUAGAGUGUGGUAGGGGAGACUGGAAUUCCUGGUGUAGCGGUGGAAUGCGCAGAUAUCAGGAGGAACACCGAUGGCGAAGGCAGGUCUCUGGGCCACUACUGACGCUGAGAAGCGAAAGCAUGGGGAGCGAACAGG